GGUGGAGCCAGGAUCCACCCCUUCCCAAACCUCAUUUAAGGGCUGGCAGUGGAAGCAAGGAUAUUUUGCUGCAGGUCCCUGUGUACCUGAGGCCUUCUGAAGGUAAGCAGCUUCUUUUCUUUAUUUCUGUGUGCCCACGGAUGUUGCAUUUGAGCAAAUCCUUACUAACUGCUGCAUAGGAGCUUGCUGCUCUGUUGUUGCUGUGCUUUCCAUCACAUUACACUAGAUAUGAACUUAAUUGGAGGAAAAUGGGAAGGGUAUAGGAGUCUUACUGUGUAUCACUUCUUCCUGGUACACAGAAACGUUUAUCUCUAGGUUAUUGAUGUUGGCUGUUGAAAAAAGCAUCAGGGAAUUGCAUGUAUUCAGCAAGCUUGGUUUACCAAGCAGGAUCAGCAUGAACGUUAUGUGGAAAACUGUGAUGCUUUUUGCUUAUCUGACACUUUAAUAGAAGAAUUCUUUAAUCCCCACCUGGAACAAAAAAACCCCCACAAACAGUUGGUUUAACUAUCUCCUGGAAGUGCUUAUCGUUCUCAGCCGAUGUUUAAGCUGUGGGUGCCAAGAGUGCUUUGGAUCUUCUAUCUCCAGGUGCACAGCCUGGCUUUAUUCUGAAUGCAUGCCAGGAAUAAAACCCAUCCAGUGUAAAGGCAGCAGGUACUGAAGAGCAUGUUCCAGUUUAAUUUAUGAAGAUAUACCUAUCCUCAGUGUUCCUCAGACCUUCUCUGAAAAAUUGUGCUGGAACACAGAUAAGACUCUCCCACGUUUCAGUGCAUGAGUCCUGUGAAGGAGCUGCUCUGACACAAGGGACGAUGAGGAGAACUCAAAACAUACUGCCAGCAGUGGCAGCCUCGGUGUGCCUUGUUCUCCAGCUGAGUUGAAGGUUCUGUCAGGCUUCAUUUGCUACUUAAUUGGAAAAUCUCACACAGGUCCUGUCCAUGACAGUAAGAGCAAAGCUGCACAAGUGCUAAUUCUAAUGGAAUUUUCUGGCUUAUAUGGUUGAAAGAGGGUUGCGAUGCAUGAAGGCUCUUGUUGGCCAAAAGAGACUGUCACUGGGGAUCCUACAUUAUGCAGAAUAGGG
rnacentral:lncRNA from 1 species